UUAGCUCAUAUUUGUAUGGAAUGGGAUCGUUUGCGUACGUUUACCGCUAGGGGCGCUGUUCCAACUGCAUACAAAAUUUGGCUA
rfam:Bombyx mori DNA, contig: Bm_scaf105_contig36607, strain: p50T/Dazao, build 2, whole genome shotgun sequence.